AGGUUUUUUUUAUUUUCGCCGUCAUGAGAUAUUGUAAUUUCAGGUUCACAAAAAAUGUUUUAUUUCUGUGCCUAGUGACUGUCCUGUUGUGUCGAAAGUGCUGUUCGAUGGACCUGGGGUCGACAAGAAUAUGGGUCGACUUGUCGCUCAUGAACUUGGACAUCUACUAGGAGCUGAACAUGAUCAAGAUGUUCAGAAUAGGACGGAUUGUAAACCAGGACAGCAUAUCAUGUCUGUCAGUGUUAAUUCAUCGAUGAACACCUGGUCACCCUGCUCUAGGGACGCCAUAGAUAAAGUUGUCGCUGAGAGAACAAUAGAUGGAAACUGUUUCAUCACGUGACACUGUAGAUUUUAUAGCAAAAAUAAAUCUUUUACAUCACUUUA